CGCCUCUUGCUAGAAUAUAAGAGGUCCAGCCUGCCCAGUGACGAAAUUUCAACGGCCGCGGUAUCCUAACCGCGCGAAGGUAGCAUAAUCACUUGUUCUCUCAAUAAGGACUAGUAUCAACGGCAUCACGAGGGUUAUACUGUCUCCUCUCUCCAAUCAGUGAAAUUGAUCUCCCCGUGAAGAAGCGGGGAUAUUACCAUAAGACGAGAAGACCCCAUGGAGCUUUAAGCUCAACUACAACUCUCACACAAAAUUCUUUAUAAUUACAGAGCUCUGCUUGUUAGCUUUCGGUUGGGGUGACCGCGGAGCACAAACAAACCUCCACGACGAACGGGUUAAACCCCUAAUCCAAGAGCCACUGCUCUAAGAAUCAUUAAACUGACGCAAAAAGAUCCGAUUUUUGAUCAACGGACCAAGUUACCCUGGGGAUAACAGCGCAAUCCAUUUUAAGAGCUCCUAUCGACAAAUGGGUUUACGACCUCGAUGUUGGAUCAGGGUAUCCUAGUGGUGUAACCUCUACUAAAGGUUCGUUUGUUCAACGAUUAAAACCCU
rnacentral:rRNA from 1 species